rnacentral:tRNA from 2 species
AGAUAAUUAGCCCCAGCACUUGACCUCCACUCAAGACCUCUUAGAUAAAACCCAUGAUUAUCUA